GACGAACGCUGGCGGCGUGCCUAAUACAUGCAAGUAGAACGCUGAAGAGAGGAGCUUGCUCUUCUUGGGUGAGUUGCGAACGGGUGAGUAACGCGUAGGUAACCUGCCUUGUAGCGGGGGAUAACUAUUGGAAACGAUAGCUAAUACCGCAUAACAAUGGAUGACACAUGUCAUUUAUUUGAAAGGGGCAAUUGCUCCACUACAAGAUGGACCUGCGUUGUAUUAGCUAGUAGGUGAGGUAAUGGCUCACCUAGGCGACGAUACAUAGCCGACCUGAGAGGGUGGUCGGCCACACUGGGACUGAGACACGGCCCAGACUUCUACGGGAGGCAGCAGUAGGGAAUCUUCGGGAAUGGGGGCAACCCUGACCGAGCAACGCCGCGGGAGUGAAGAAGGGUUUCGGAUCGUAAAGCUCUGUUGUAAGUCAAGAACGGGUGUGAGAGUGGAAAGUUCACACUGUGACGGUAGCUUACCAGAAAGGGACGGCUAACUACGUG
rnacentral:rRNA from 1 species